rnacentral:rRNA from 1 species
UACGAAGGGGGCUAGCGUUGCUCGGAAUCACUGGGCGUAAAGCGCACGUAGGCGGAUAUUUAAGUCGGUGGUGAAAUCCUGGAGCUCAACUCCAGAACUGCCUCCGAUACUGAAUGUCUUCGAGUCCGGGAGAGGUGAGUGGAACUGCGAGUGUAGAGGUGAAAUUCGUAGAUAUUCGCAAGAACACCAGUGGCGAAGGCGGCUCAGCUGCCCGGUACUG